UUUUUGUAUCUGCAUUGAAUAAAAGAUUGGAUGAGGUGAACAUCAAGAUGUUUCAUGCGAUAGCUGUUAAUUUGAAGAACUCCGUGCAGGCAGUUUAUCAUCGUUCAUGCUACAAAAGUUACACAAGUAAACAUAUUUGUUCCCCCUUUUAGAGCGAGGAAGCUUCUAAUCUGAUAUUUAAUGACGACAUACAAUUAUCGGACUGUUGUCCCUCAGUUUCGGGUAUU
rnacentral:lncRNA from 1 species